rnacentral:rRNA from 1 species
AUUGAACGCUGGCGGCAGGCCUAACACAUGCAAGUCGAGCGGAUGAAGGGAGCUUGCUCCUGGAUUCAGCGGCGGACGGGUGAGUAAUGCCUAGGAAUCUGCCUGGUAGUGGGGGAUAACGUCCGGAAACGGGCGCUAAUACCACAUACGUCCUGAGGGAGAAAGUGGGGGAUCUUCGGACCUCACGCUAUCAGAUGAGCCUAGGUCGGAUUAGCUAGUUGGUGGGGUAAAGGCUUACCAAGGCGACGAUCCGUAACUGGUCUGAGAGGAUGAUCAGUCACACUGGAACUGAGACACGGUCCAGACUCCUACGGGAGGCAGCAGUGGGGAAUAUUGGACAAUGGGCGAAAGCCUGAUCCAGCCAUGCCGCGUGUGUGAAGAAGGUCUUCGGAUUGUAAAGCACUUUAAGUUGGGAGGAAGGGCAGUAAGUUAAUACCUUGCUGUUUUGACGUUACCAACAGAAUAAGCACCGGCUAACUUCGUG